UACGGAGGGUGCAAGCGUUAAUCGGAAUUACUGGGCGUAAAGCGCACGUAGGUGGUUUGUUAAGCUAGAUGUGAACGCCCCGGGCUCACCCUGGGAAUUGCAUUUAGAACUGGCAAGCUAGAGUAGGGUAGAGGGGUGUGGAAUUCCAGGUGUAGCGGUGAAAUGCGUAGAUAUCUGGAGGAACAGCAGUGGCGAAGGCGGCAACCGGGACUCAUACUGACACCGAGGUGCGAAAGCGUGGGGAGCAAACAGG
rnacentral:rRNA from 1 species